rnacentral:lncRNA from 1 species
CCACUAUGAUUAAACAAUUUGCCAACUAUGUUUUAACAUUUUUUUUUUUUUGUUAAGCUGCUAAACUAAACAAUUAUAAACAAAACAUACAAAUCAUGCCCCAGACAAAUAUUGACUCAUUGAUAAAGAAGACAAGUUGGAACUACUGUGAAUUCAAAGAAUGGGGAUGUAGGCUAUCAUACUUAAAUGCGACACUAAGGAAAUCUAUCAAUGAGUCGUGCUUAUAAAAAAUGGUUUCAUCUUAUAAACCCAAAACCAAAUUAGCGGUUAGAAGAAGAUGAAACAUG